UUUCCGUAGGUGAACCUGCGGAAGGAUCAUUAAAUAAUCAAUAAUUUUGGCUUGUCCAUCAUUAUCUAUUUACUGUGAACUGUAUUAUUACUUGACGCCUGAGGAAUGUUCCACUGCUAUAAGGAUAGGCAAUGGAAAUGUUAACCGAGUCAUAAUCAAGCUUAGGCUUGGUAUCCUAUUAUUAUUUACCAAAAGAAUUCAGAAUUAAUAUUGUAACAUAGACGUAAAAAAUCUAUAAAACAACUUUUAACAACGGAUCUCUUGGUUCUC
rnacentral:misc_RNA from 1 species